GCGCCGGUGGUGUAAGGCGAACAUCGCUGCCCGGAAUGCGGAAGAUACGGGUUCGAGUCCCGCCUGGCGCA
rnacentral:tRNA from 1 species